UUUUUUUUUUUUUUUUUUUUUUUUUUUUUGGUUUUUAGGGCCGCACCUGCAGCAUAUGGAAGUUCCCAGGCUAGGGGUUGAAUCAGAACUGCAGCUCCCAGCCUAUACCCCAGCCACAGCAAUGCCAGAUCUGAGCUGUGUCUGGGACCUGCCCCACAGCUCACAGCAACACCAGAUCCUUAAGCCACUGAGCAAGGCCAGGGAUCGAACCUACAUCCUCAUGAAUACUAGUCAGAUUCGUUACCACUGAGCCACAACAGGAACUCCUAUUUGUGAUUCUUACUGAGGUGAAAAAAGGGGUUUGUGCCUUAGAGAAAUAUUUUCAGUAGCAUGGACAACUAAAAAAAAAAUAAAAAAAAAAAAAAAAGGCAUGCUGGUUAACUUUCAGAAAACUGUUAGCCAGAAAUGCAUAGUUCUUCAAGAAUUCAAGUUCAGAUCCCCAAGUCAGGCCAGCUGUGUGGGUGGUCACAAGGGGAUUUCACAGGGUUAGAGGGUGCCUAUACCUACUGUGAGCUGUUUUCUGUUUUUCUGAAGAUUCAGGCCUGGAGUUCCCAUGGUGGCUCAGCAGAAACAAAGCCAACUAGGAACCAUGAGGUUGCAGGUUCAAUCCUUGGCCUCACUCUGUGGGUUAAGAAUCCGGUGUUGCCACGAGCUGUGGUGCAGAUUGCAGAUGUGGCUUGGAUCCUGCGUUGCUAUGGCUGUGGUGUAGGUUGCAGAUGCGGCUCAGAUCCUGUGUGGUUGUGGCUGUGAUACAGGCCAGCACCUACAGCUCUGAUUGGACCCCUAGCCUUGCAUGGACAGACGGAUGGAUGGAUGGAUGGAUGGAUGGGUAGAUGGAUGGAAGAACAAAUGGAAAAGUUGAAAAAAAAAAUAAAGAGAUAAAUAGAAUUUCCACCUGUCAGGAACAGGGAUGGGUGCUUUUAUAUAAGUUCUCUAUCUGCCUGCGAUACCGAAGACCAGCCUGCAGGUGCUCAGGAAGAAGUAAGACCUCAAAUUACUUAUCAACAACUCCUGGUAAAAAGCCCAACCAGAGAAAUUAUAUUUAGAGAGGAGAUUCUGGUGACAGACACUCUGUUGGGCGUUCUAAAUUCUAUGCCCUGUCAAGCUAAACCCUGGAAGCGCUGGUCCCUCAGGAGCUUGGCAGGGCUGUCUUCACUAAACUGCAGUCCAAUACUAUGCCCUCAGCUGUCAUUAAGAUUUCUUGUGAAAACCACUCCUGCAUUUGUUGUACACUUGUGGCUGGGGAAAUUGUCCACUUUGUCAUUCAAGGUCACAUGUGAAAAUGUUGUUCUGGGAGUUUUCUUGUGGAGAAGUGAGCUAGGGAUCUGGCGUUGUCACUACAACAGCUUGAGUUGCUGCCAUGGCAUGGGAUGGAUCCUUGGCCUGAGAACUUCUGCAUGCAUGCCGAGGGUGCGGCCCCCAAAAAUGUUGUUCUGUGAUUUUUUUCCUCUUUCCCUUUUUACCUUGGCUGACAGGAAACUCAGAGACAUGAUGAUUAAUCAUGGAAAUUAGAUUAGCCUGCAGAAUUAGCAUAAUUUUUUUUUUUUUUAGGGCCAAACCAAAGGCCUAUGAUAGUUCCCAGGCUAGGGGUCGAACUGGAGCUACAGCUGCUAGAAUAUACCACAACCAUAGCAAUACUAGAUCCAAGCCAUGUCUGCAACCCACAUCACAACUCACAGCAAUGCUGGAUUCUUAACCCACUGAGUGAGGCCAGGGAUCAAACCCACAACCUCAUGGAUACAAGUAAGGUUUGUUACCAGUGAGCCAGAAUGAGAACUCCCCAAAUUUUUAAUCCGAAUACACUUUAGUAAGAUAACUAUACCUAUAUCGAUACUUUUAUCUAUGUUAUCUAUGUCCUUCUUGGUAAAGCAGUUCAGAUUAUUUUGGGGGGGGGAAGAAGCAGUAGAUAAGUAAAAAUAAAUGAAUGAAAAAAGUGUGAUAUUUAUAUAAAGCCCCAGCCUUUACCUUAAACGGAGGCUGAAAACCACAAAACAAAACUAGUCCCCAAAGCACUUCUAUAUGGCCUGGGAAUCAAAUGCACUCGAGUGCACACAGUUUUACACACCUGUCACAUGCCCUAGAAUAUCCGCAGACACACACUCACUCACCAACCUGCACCCCUGCCCUGUCUCCUACACCUGAUUUGGCAAAAUCCACCCCUCAGCAUGCAGAUGGGUGAGCAGACACCUUGCUCGCAGAGCCAGGAUGGAACUGCCCUGUUUAGCGCGCAUCCUGCUCGCUCUCUGCCCAUGAUGACUGCCAUCCUCCGGCUGAUACUCAGACGCGGGGACCCGACUCCUCUCCCAGUCACGCAGUCUUAGGCGGGAAACACACACAAGCCUUUGUAAACCUGCUGGGUGCUUAUAACUCUGUGCGCUGUCAUUUCCUGUACCUCCACUCCAUCCCAGCCCUUGUGUGCUUAGAUGCCUGGAUCUACAAGACUGAGGGGAGAUGGAGGCAGAGGGGUUAAGUCCCUUCCGUAGGGCACCCAGCCAAGACCAGGGCUAUCUGAUUCCACAGCCUGCACCUCUCCCCACUGAGCUCCUGACUCAGACCCGGGGCCAACCUAAGGUGACCGGGAUGGCGUGUGACCCCAGGGAGAUUUGACGCCCCAGCCUGCACCUGCUAGAUCACAGCCCCCUGUUAAAUCUCUUCCUUGAUGGGCACCCCUCAAACCUGAGGACAGGCGUGAAAGGCAAACGACAAAGGUGGCAAGUGAGAGAGCGAGUUACGAGGACCCUCAUUUCGAGGGGAUCUUUUGAAUAAGCCCUAAGGCGAGUGUUCCAGCAAAGUCCAGCUCUCCCCAGUCAGCCAGGGCCCAUGGGUACCCAUCUAAGGUAGGUGUUCCCAGCCUCAGCACUAAUGAGACUGUGGACCUGGGCAUCUUUUCCUGCAGUAGGUGUUCCUGUGCAUUGCAGCAUCCCUGGCCUCUACCCACCAGAUGCCAGCAGGACCUGCCAUUAGCUGUGACAGCCACAAACAUGCCCAAACAUUGCCAAAUGCCCCCUGCGAGCAAAAUCACACUAGACUGAACACUGCUGGUCUGGGGCCUCUGGGGAACCACUACAGAACAGGGUUUGGAAAAAGCAGAGGCUAUAGGAGGUGGGUUAGGGGUGUAGGACUGCUGAGCCAAGGGAAGCCAGGACCAAAAGAGGUUUUCACGGACUACUGCCUGGCCCCCGGCCCGUGGGAUGAGCUUACAGUCCCCCACCCUGGGGCUGCAGAGAGAGACAUAAAUGAAUGGUACAGACAAUCCCAAUUUUCUGGUGUGUGACAGUUUGCACCCCCAUGCUUUGAGAUUUGGGACAAGCAGACCAAUCUGGGCUGAAGUUUGCCUUCUUCCUCAGCUGAAGGGAGAACCAGCAGAGCUGAGGAGCGUGUCAAGGGGACAGCCGAGGUGCGAGUUCCAGCCCCCUCCCCACAAGGACCAACUGUUUCCCAUCUUAGAGGCUUCUCCUCCCAGGAGCACUCAAGGUUCUGGAUGCAGAUGACAUUGACCCAGGAGAAAAGACCCAAAAGACCUUCAGGCACACACGUCAUACGUCACAGAGGACAGCUGCGGAAAAACUGGAUAAUCUGGCUCUCUCAGGAUCUCAGAGCAUCCUGCCAUGCCCAGAGUGUGUGGGCCUUAACAAGUGAGGCUGGGAGGUGUGCCUGAUGGAGAAAAGCUAGCAUCCUAUGCCCCCUCCCGCAGCAAGACCUCCACCCCCUGGAAGCUGGCCUGGAGGUCGGGGCACUCAGGGGUCUGUGGGGAUUGAGUCCUGGGCAGCUACAUGGGCUUGUGGGCAGAACCAGGACUUAAGCAGCCCCAGCUCCUCCUGCGAAGCCUGAUCCUCACCCCUUCCACCCCUAGAUGCAGACCUCAGGAUUGAAAAAAAACAAGACCAAUUUUGAAAAGUCACACCAGAGUCUUGAAACCCACUGGCUUUGGAGAGAUCCUGCCACCUUGCUCUCUGUCUCCUUGCUCCGGGGGUGCGGUCCUCAGCCCCACAGCAGCAGGGAUUCCCCGGAGCUGGUUAGACAUGCAGAUUCCUGGGCCCCAUCCGGAGCAUCUGAAGCCCAGUCUGCACAUUAGCAAACUCCUUGGGUGAUCUGGGGCCCAGUAAUAUCUGAGGGGUGCUGCCUCCCCCAGAGCAGCCGCUCACAGUAAAGGUGCCCUUUGAUUUCACAUCCCCUCCUCCUGUGAUCCCACACAUCCACCCUCAUCUUAAGGAGAUGCCACACACCCUGGCAGCCUUGCUCCCACAGUCCCGUGCACCCAACAGCCAAGAAGACCUCCGACUUGCCCGCCCCUCCAUCUCUCCUACUAGAAUUGCUUUGAAUUACACCUGUUCUAUCCUCAGCACCUCAGGGCUUCAAUAGCACUUCAUUGGCUUAAUGACAAUGAGUCACUGGCUGUUUUUGGGCUUAAUUGUGGCUGUUUCAAUAAACCCAAGACCUUUAUUGAGGCUUUUAUCUGUAGGGGUAGCAGCAAGGACUGGUCCCGGGGCACAGAGCCGGCAGGGAAGUCGGCUGAGCUGAGAGAGUGGGUGGCCCUUGUCUCCUGACAUUUGCUCCUGGAGCCUCUGCCUCCAGGGUAAAGACCUGGAAAUCUCUGAGAACAAUAGCUUAAGCAGUGCCUGAGAUCACAAGGAGGGUGGGUGGCAGGCAGAAGGCAGGGCUGUGCCCUGAGGCCACUCCUUGGAGCAUUGACGGCACCGAUGGACCAGGGGCUGCUCCCAGGUUUCCCAGCCCCAUAGGCAGCAUUCCCCUAAGUCUACUAUAGCUCCAGUACUACCUCCCAAAGCUUUCUCUGGGCCUUAGCAAUUUGAGCUGAGAGUUAGUGAUCCCAUCUGUGAAAUGGGAGGGCAUAAUCCCGCUCUUUAUAAGAAUGCAUCCUUUUUUUUUUUUUUUUUUUUNUUUUUUUUUUUUUUGGUCUUUUUGCCUUUUCUAGAGCCGCUCCUGUGGCAUAUGGAUAUUCCCAGGCUAGGGGUCUAAUUGGAGGUACAGCUGCCGGCCUACACACCACAGCCACAGCAGUGUGGUAUCUGAGCCACGUCUGCAACCUACACCACAGCUCACGGCCACGCCAAAUCCUUAACCCACUGAGCAAGGCCAGGGAUCAAACCCACAACCUCAUGGUUCCUAGUCAGAUUCAUUAACCACUGCACCACGAUGGGAACUCCAAGAAUGCAAUCCAUUUUGCAUGCAAAGAUAACCACAGCUUUGCCAUAACCCUUCUGGAGAGAGCUGGAAAGACACAUGGGGAAAACCAUGAGCUGGCCCCUCCACUGCUCAGGUAGGCUCUAGGACUCUCUCCCAGUGGACUUUCUCCCAGGUAAAGGCCUUUGGGAGCCCAGCCAAGGUUUUAAGGACCAGCUCCAAUUCAGACUCUUGUCAGGUCACCUUCCCAAGCUCCCCUGCAAGAAUGAAGGACCCUCCCCU
rnacentral:lncRNA from 1 species